CCAUUCAUUUAAAGAGUGCGUAACAGCUCACUAGUCGAGCGGUCCUGCAUGGAUAAUACGCGGGCAUAAGCAUAUAACCGAAGCUAUGGGAUUGUAGAUGAUACAAUCGGUAGGAGAGCAUUCCAUUCAGCAUAGAAGCAGUACCGUGAGGUAUUGUGGAGCGGAUGGAAAAGCAAAUGUAGGCAUAAGUAACGAUAAUGCGGGUGAGAACCCCGCACGCCGAAAGAUCAAGGAUUCCCCGGCAAUGUCAAUCAUCCGGGGGUAAGUCGGAUCCUAAGGGUAAGCCGAGUGGCGAUCCCGAUGGCAAACAGGUUAAUAUUCCUGUACUGAUCAUAACUGCGAUGCAGCGACGCAGAGGUGACACUGCUGCGUACUGACGGAAUAGUACGUUGAAACCCGUAUUCUUUGAUACCGGUAGUGAAGCACGCCGGUAGAGAUGAAAGGUGAUAGUACCGCAAUGCUUCGGUUGCGCGGAUAACGCAGGUAAGCUGACUGCCAAGAAAACCUGCUAAGCUUCAGGUAAUGAUCAUCCGUACUGUAAACGGACACACGUGAUCAGGUAGAAAAUACUAAGGCGCUCGAGAGAUUCAUGGUUAAGGAACUAGGCAAAAUGGUCCUGUAACUUCGGGAUAAAGGACGCUCUUGUGAAAGAGCCGCAGAUAAUAGGCCCAGGCGACUGUUUACCAAAAACACAUGGCUAUGCUAAUUCGCAAGAAGAUGUAUAUGGCCUGACACCUGCCCGGUGCCGGAAGGUUAAGAGGAGAGCUCAGAGGCAACUCGAAGGUUUGAAUUGAAGCCCCGGUAAACGGCGGCCGUAACUAUAACGGUCCUAAGGUAGCGAAAUUCCUUGUCGGGUAAGUUCCGACCUGCACGAAUGGUGUAACGAUCUGGGUACUGUCUCAACCAUGAGCUCGGUGAAAUUGUAGUUCCGGUGAAGAUGCCGGAUACCCGCAACGGGACGGAAAGACCCCGUGAACCUUUACUGCAGCUUUGCAUUGAUUUUGGGUAACAGAUGUGUAGGAUAGGUCGGAGGCUUUGAUGCUGCGUCGUCAGGCGUAGAGUAGCCGUCGUUGAAAUACGACCCUUUUGUUAUCUGAGGUCUAACCCGUUAGGGAGACAUUGCAUGGUGGGUAGUUUGACUGGGGUGGUCGCCUCCAAAAGUGUAACGGAGGCUUCUCAAGGUACCCUCAAGGCGUUUGGUAAUCGUCUGCAGAGUGCAAUGGCAUAAGGGUGCUUGACUGUGAGACCGACACGUCGAUCAGGUUGGAAACAAGAGCAUAGUGAUCCGGUGGUUCCGCAUGGAAGGGCCAUCG
rnacentral:rRNA from 1 species